UACGGAGGGUGCAAGCGUUGUUCGGAAUCAUUGGGCGUAAAGCGCGUGUAGGCGGCUUGGCAAGUCGGUUGUGAAAGCCCGGGGCCCAACCCCGGAACUGCAUCUGAAACUGCCUGGCUAGAGUCCCGGAGAGGAAGGCAGAAUUCCCGGUGUAGGGGUGAAAUCCGUAGAUAUCAGGAGGAACACCAAUGGCGAAGGCAGCUCGUUGGAGCGGUACUGACGCUGAGGCGCGAAAGCGUGGGGAGCGAACAGG
rnacentral:rRNA from 1 species